rnacentral:rRNA from 1 species
GAUGAACGCUGGCGGCGUGCCUAAUACAUGCAAGUCGAGCGAACAGACGAGGAGCUUGCUCCUCUGACGUUAGCGGCGGACGGGUGAGUAACACGUGGAUAACCUACCUAUAAGACUGGGAUAACUUCGGGAAACCGGCGCUAAUACCGGAUAAUAUAUUGAACCGCAUGGUUCAAUAGUGAAAGACGGUUUUGCUGUCACUUCUAGCUGGAUCCGCGCCGCAUUAGCUAGUUGGUAAGGUAACGGCUUACCAAGGCGACGAUGCGUAGCCGACCUGAGAGGGUGAUCGGCCACACUGGAACUGAGACACGGUCCAGACUCCUACGGGAGGCAGCAGUAGGGAAUCUUCCGCAAUGGGCGAAAGCCUGACGGAGCAACGCCGCGUGAGUGAUGAAGGUCUUCGGAUCGUAAAACUCUGUUAUUAGGGAAGAACAAAUGUGUAAGUAACUAUGCACGUCUUGACGGUACCUAAUCAGAAAGCCACGGCUAACUACGUG